UGAGUGAUUAUGAAAGUAAAUUACUAAUUUAAGAAGAUAAGAACAAUGUGUACGAUUAUAUUUAUUUAUGGUUAAGAUUUUUAUGCAAAGACCCCGAAUGAGUUAUGUUGUAGUGUGCCCAUUGAAUGAGUACAAUAGAAAGGUAAAUGUAGGAACGAGAGAGGUUUCGGGGACGAAACCUUCUUUAAGGGGGGUAGCCUUGUAACACCCCAAAAUUUGAAUUAUUAAAUUCAUUAGCAUGUUAUCAUGAUUAAUAAAAUGUGAGAAAUAUGUUAUUUAACUUGGUUACCGAUACAAGUUAGAUAGUAGUAAUAAAGAUUGGUGAAUAAACAAUUACCACAUUAAACUUAAGGGGCUAAAGGUGACAUGUUAUGAAAGUUGAAUUAAUAAAAAUGAAAUAAAAAAAAAUAAAACACACACAUCAGAUGUGUGUGUGUGUUCGACGCCAGAGCCAAGAGAAGAAGGGGAACCCUUUCUAAUCACACAAAUUCAUCCAAUUGAAGCCCUAAUCAUGGCCAUUGCUCAUGCAUGUUGGUGAUUUCUUGAUCAUCUAGACUUACUAAAGCUUAAGGAACGUGUCAAGGAGAGCUCAAGCAUAGGAGGAUAACGGGUCAAGAUAAGGCAAGGUGACAAAUACACUUAUUGGAGUACUCAAGGUAAUGCAGGAAUGAGAACGACGGAUUCUCGUGGAAUGGAAGCUGAACUCGGAACGAGAGAAUCCGAGAGAAUAGUCGGAUAAAUCAAAGUUUACGUUGUCGAAUGUACUACUCGGACUUCUUCUACCUUUAAGGAUGAUAAGCGGGCGUGGAUCGAGUCGAAGAGCAAGGAUUGUACGGAAAGAACGGCUACAUAGUUUGAAAUACGUAAUGCUUUGAAGCGUUAAUUUAAUGUAAAUAUUGUAAACCUCUUCCAGUAAAUGCUUAACAUUUUCGUAUUUGAGCUUUUAUGUAAGUAAUGUGUCUAAUAAAGAAAGAAAUUUCAAGGCUCGUA